rnacentral:rRNA from 1 species
UACGGGGGGGGCAAGCGUUGUUCGGAAUUACUGGGCGUAAAGGGUGCGUAGGCGGUUCGCUAAGUUGGAUGUGAAAACUCUGGGCUUAACCCAGAGCCUGCAUCCAAUACUGACGAGCUAGAGUUCUGGAGGGGGUAGCGGAAUUCCUGGUGUAGCGGUGAAAUGCGUAGAUAUCAGGAGGAACACCGGUGGCGAAGGCGGGUCUCUGGGCCGAUACUGACGCUGAGGAGCGAAAGCGUGGGGAGCGAACAGG